CGUCUGGCUUGGGUACCUCCCUCCACGGCUGGGAAAACCGGGGAACCCGACUCCGGAGAGUAGUUCUGAAAUUGAAUGGUGUUUUCAAGUCACAGGUCACCAAAACGUGAGCCAUUAAACUCUGUCCUGGACCAAAUUCCUAGCCUCCUAAGCAGAAAGAAAGGGCUGCUCCCUCUCUGCCCCCCAAUUUGAAAAGCAAGUGACAAGAAGCUCAAGUAACAGGAUCUAUGGAAAAAUAUCCUCACAUGAGAAUUAACAAAAAUAAAAAUAAAAAAAGAUAAAUGUGAAAGUCUGUCUGAAAUUCAUUGUCCUUAUUAUUAACAAUAACUCCGAAAAGUCUCCAAUGUAAAGACAAUGUACCUGACUAAAGUGAACAAAACUGUAUGACAUUUCCUAACCACUUAGCAUGUAGUUUUAAUAACAGAAGCCUAGAUACAAGAAAACAGUUCACAAAGAAAACAAAAAGGUGAAACCUUUCUCUCUUCCCUAAUUUUUGGUCAUAAAUUCAAGACUUCUCAUGGACUGAGCUCCAUAGGUUUGUGAGUCUCUGUGAUUCAAAAACAGGGGUAAGAAUGGAAUUUAGGUCUUCUAGGACUACUUUUAGAAUCCUGGCUAUUCCAGAAUUCAGAAGGCAUGGAAAAACCAUGUCCUCAGUAAAAGUUUCUGAGUUUCUGAGUGAUCAAAUAUCACUCCCAUGACCUGGCGUGGCAUGGAAGCUUUAUGUUCUGUAUACUGCUCGUUUCUUAAUGGUGAAGAAGGUAGCAUUCCGUAUUGCUAAUUGCUCUAUACUUUUGAAAUGUAAGACAU